rnacentral:piRNA from 1 species
UAAACUAGAAAUGUGGCCACUCUCCC